rnacentral:rRNA from 1 species
GGGCGCAAGCCUGAUGCAGCCAUGCCGCGUGUGUGAAGAAGGCCUUCGGGUUGUAAAGCACUUUCAGCGGGGAGGAAGGCGUUAAGGUUAAUAACCUUGGCGAUUGACGUUACCCGCAGAAGAAGCACCGGCUAACUCCGUGCCAGCAGCCGCGGUAAUACGGAGGGUGCAAGCGUUAAUCGGAAUUACUGGGCGUAAAGCGCACGCAGGCGGUCUGUCAAGUCGGAUGUGAAAUCCCCGGGCUCAACCUGGGAACUGCAUUCGAAACUGGCAGGCUAGAGUCUUGUAGAGGGGGGUAGAAUUCCAGGUGUAGCGGUGAAAUGCGUAGAGAUCUGGAGGAAUACC